rnacentral:rRNA from 1 species
GUGUCAGCAGCCGCGGUAUACGUAGGGGGCCAGCGUUGCUCGGAAUUACUGGGCGUAAAGGGUCUGUAGGCGGUGCGGCAAGUCGAUAGUGAAAUCCCUAGGCUUAACCUAGGGGCUGCUAGCGAAACUGCCGUGCUAGAGUGUGAGAGAGGCGAGUGGAAUUACGGGUGUAGCGGUGAAAUGCGUAGAUAUCCGUAGGAACAUCCGAGGCGAAAGCGGCUCGCUGGAUCACAACUGACGCUGAGAGACGAAAGCUAGGGGAGCAAACAGGAUUAGAUACCCUGGUAGUCCUAGCCCUAAACCAUCAGGACUUGGGGUUUGCCCUGUACGGGGCAAGUCCCGUAGCUAACGCGUUAAGUCCUGCGCCUGGGGAGUACGGUCGCAAGGCUGAA